rnacentral:lncRNA from 1 species
UGGACACUGGUAACACUAAUUGCCUCUGAAAACAGGGUCUAUAGGUUGGAUGUGGCUCUGCUAGGCUUAACUGGAAUCAGUUGGGCUUGACUUCAGGCUGCUGGUUGGGUUCAAGCCUGUUCCAUAUAUUUCCUCAUUCUUCUUGGACCAGUGGCUACCUGGAACAUGUUCUUCCCCCGGAGGGUCACUGGAGUCCAAGAGAGCAUGUGCAUUUCUCAUACUGCUAAGUGAUCUCUCUGAUCUGAUUGUAUUCAAUUCGUUUUCCUGCCUUCCUGCCUUCCUUCGCUCCAAGAAUAUGGGCUCCCUGAGGUCAGGACCCACAAUCUUGCUCCAUUAACCUUUGUGUUCCCACAAUCUAACACAAUGCCUGCUAUGUAAUAGCAAGA